rnacentral:piRNA from 1 species
UCCCUUUCUCAGCUGGUGAGCGACUUGACCC